UUGUGGCUGGAUCACCUCCUUUUAAGGAGACCUAUCUACUCAUUCAUGCAGUUUAUUAUCGCUGAAUGAAGUAGGUCAUCUUAGGUCGGUCAGGACUUAUUGAGGAAGGCUUUCAAUAUUGUCGGGUUUAUAUAUGGGCUAUUAGCUCAGGUGGUUAGAGCGCACCCCUGAUAAGGGUGAGGUCCCUGGUUCGAGUCCAGGAUGGCCCACUGAGUGGGGGUAUAGCUCAGUUGGUAGAGCGCCUGCUUUGCAAGCAGGAUGUCAGCGGUUCGAGUCCGCUUACCUCCACCAAAUGUGAAUAUUGAAUCGUUAGAUUUUAGGUAUCAGCACCGUACCGGCCUGUCGAGGUUAAGGUAAGCUGCUGAACUCUAAAGUUCAGCGAGAGAUCCUUGACAACUGCAUAGAGAUAUUUGAGUCAAAAGGUAGUUAAAGACAAAACUAUUCGCAAUGGAUAGAGAGAAGGUCAAGCUACAAAGGGCUAACGGUGGAUACCUAGGCACACAGAA
rnacentral:tRNA from 1 species